GGCUUCGUGGUGUAGUGGUUAUCACGUGACGUUCACAUUCAUGUGGAUUACAAUCUGGAUGUUCACAUCAAGAUCCGUCAAGGUCGGGAGUUCGAAACUCCCCGAAGUCA